GAUGAACGCUGGCGGCGUGCCUAAUACAUGCAAGUCGAGCGAACGGACGAGAAGCUUGCUUUUCUGAUGUUAGCGGCGGACGGGUGAGUAACACGUGGAUAACCUACCUAUAAGACUGGGAUAACUUCGGGAAACCGGAGCUAAUACCGGAUAAUAUUUUGAACCGCAUGGUUCAUAAGUGAAAGACGGUCUUGCUGUCACUUAUAGAUGGAUCCGCGCUGCAUUAGCUAGUUGGUAAGGUAACGGCUUACCAAGGCAACGAUGCAUAGCCGACCUGAGAGGGUGAUCGGCCACACUGGACCUGAGACACGGUCCAGACUCCUACGGGAGGCAGCAGUAGGGAAUCUUCCGCAAUGGGCGAAAGCCUGACGGAGCAACGCCGCGUGAGUGAUGAAGGUCUUCGGAUCGUAAAACUCUGUUAUUAGGGAAGAACAUAUGUGUAAGUAACUGUGCACAUCUUGACGGUACCUAAUCAGAAAGCCACGGCUAACUACGU
rnacentral:rRNA from 1 species